UUCUUGGCGUGCUCUACCUGGCAGAACUCCCGUGCAUCGGCACGGCAGAYUGUCAUGGGGCCGUCGUUUCAUUCUCCGUCCCGGCUGGCGAGAAAUUWCGCCUGGGAGGGAAGUGCCUAGUCGGCUUCGUCUGUGCGGUUCUAUCCGACGGGGAAACAAGAUGGGUCCCAUUAUGGGUGUUUCCUGCUGGCCUCGUCGAUGAUUUUAUUAUCUCCGGGGCAGCCGAAUGGCUGGCGAAACCCUUGAGCAAGCCACGGUGAAUUUGCCGUGGCACGGCACGCGGGUGUUGUCGGCUCUUACGGAUGUGGUGUCUCUGAUAAGUUCUGUUGGCCAUCGGUCCACGGGCUUUGAGAAGGUCCCCCGUACGCAUCAUUGGUUCGUCGAUCGCCCCUCAUGUCGGUUUUGCCUUCAUGCCGGGGCGGUGCGUGGGUUGCCUCUUGCACCGAAAGAACAGCGAUUGUCGGCUAUUGUYGUGAGACGGGCCUCCCCUCCGGGGUUGUUCCGGAAGCAAUGUGCCGACUCUCGUUUAARACRUGC
rnacentral:misc_RNA from 1 species